rnacentral:lncRNA from 1 species
AGGCAGAUUCCUACGGCUUUGGAUCCGAGAGGUUUUACAGGGGAAGCAUUUCCUCCCAAAAACAGUGUUAUAUCUCCUGACAGGCAACUUUAGUAACAGAAUUGUGAGUUUGUGUGGGUUUGUUUCUCUUUGCAACCUCUGCUACUUGAAGUAUUCUCAGGAAGGUCAGCCGACCUUUAUCGAGCACGAGCCGUUGGCAAGAUGGUAUCCAUAAUGAAUGUACUUCAGGCAGCCAGCGCUCUGGCGUGAGUGUUUUAACAUCUGACCCCAUCGGUACAAACAGUGUAAAACACAGAGGAUACUUGACUCCUUUUCCUAAAGGAGUGCAGCCUCCAAGAGAUGUACCAGACAGUGUGUAAACUACGUACUUGCAGUUUAGCUGGGUAAAUACCGGAGAAAUAAUGGUUCCAGUUCUUUGUUAGUUGAACUCGAGAGAUCUUUUUGGAUUGGGCUGUGUUUUGCUUGUUCUGUGUUUGUUUGUUUUUUGUUUGUUUGUUUGUUUGUUUGUUUUUUCACAGUACCUGCUACUAUACUGCCGUCUAAGCAGAUGUAAGGAUUAUUGAUCUCCUGGGACCAGGGUUCAGUGUCACCUCGCCUACUCUGGGCUCUAAAGCAGAAGCAUCUCCAUUAAAUCGUAAAUAUACGCAAUAGUGAAAUUGCCGUCAAUAUCAGGCUGCAGGCAGGUAUCGCCUACUUUUCACUGCCCAUAGUCCUGGACAGCAGCAUAUGCUUCGUGUUAUCCACUGCUCACCUUGCAAUUCUUCCGCAUUGCAACGGCAGCUAUUUCUGUGCUAACCACUGGUGAAAUGUAUAUAUGUGGUACACCCUAUGAAAGGAACCGAUAGGCACGUGGCAACACGCUGUCCUGGGCCUUGAGUGAAUGCAGUAAGGAGGAAGGGAAGUAAAGUGCUUCACCGCCACGUUUGUGGGUUUUAAUCCAUUCCUUCUUCCUUUUCCCAAGCCGAAGACGUGUCCCACGUGAUGCGUGCGUGUUACUGAAGAAUCCCGUUGUCCACCUUGUCCACCACAGGGAUUUUUCCACCUGGACUUGUCAGGGCAGUCAAGGCCGCGGUCAGCCCGUGGUGAACGGCAGCAGGAAACCCCAGUUCUCCACCGCUUGAGGAAUGAAAGCAGCGAUCUCCUCGUCUGGAGGGAAUCCCCACAAACCAGCCCACUGCCUCAGCAGUCUCGAUGGACCUACCUUCUAACUUUUAGGUGA